GGUGGCUCAGUGGUAGAGUACUUGCCUUGCAUGCAUGAGGCCUUGGGUUUGAUUCCCCAGCACCA
rnacentral:tRNA from 1 species